GGCGCCUCUAGCUCAAUUUGGCAGAGCAUCGGACUCUUAAUCCGCAGGUUCCAGGUUCGAUUCCUGGUUGGCCCACCA
rnacentral:tRNA from 1 species